GCCCGCUCAAGAAACUCAAAGGAAUUGACGGGGCCCGCACAAGCGGUGGAGUAUGUGGUUUAAUCGAUGCAACGCGAAGAACCUUACCUGGUCUUGACAUCCCGGAGACCCUUAGGAAACUAGGGGGUGCUUCCAUCUGGAAGAAUCUGGAGACAGGUGCUGCAUGGCUGUCGUCAGCUCGUGUCGUGAGAUGUUGGGUUAAGUCCCGCAACGAGCGCAACCCUUGCCUUUAGUUGCCAGCAGUUCGGCUGGGCACUCUAAAGGGACUGCCGGUGUUAAACCGGAGGAAGGUGGGGAUGACGUCAAGUCCUCAUGGCCUUUAUGACCAGGGCUACACACGUACUACAAUGGCCGAUACAAAGGGCAGCGACACUGCGAGGUGAAGCCAAUCCCGUAAAAUCGGUCUCAGUCCGGAUUGGAGUCUGCAACUCGACUCCAUGAAGUUGGAAUCGCUAGUAAUCGUGGAUCAGCAUGCCACGGUGAAUACGUUCCCGGGCCUU
rnacentral:rRNA from 1 species